rnacentral:misc_RNA from 1 species
AAGUCGUAACAAGGUCUCCGUUGGUGAACCAGCGGAGGGAUCAUUACUGAGUCGUAAAACACUCCCAAACCCAUGUGAAUCUACCUAUGUUGCCUCGGCAGGACCUACCCGGUAGCUACCUUGUACCUACCCUGUAGCCUGCCGGUGGACAAUACACUCUUGUUUAUUUGAAUCGGAAUCUGAGCGUCUUUAAUUAAAUAAAGUCUAAA